AGCAGCCGCGGUAAUUCCAGCUCCAAUAGCGUAUAUUAAAGUUGUUGCAGUUAAAAAGCUCGUAGUUGAAUUUCGGGAUUGACCCAUCGGUCGUGCCUUAAGGGGUAUGAACUGGUGUAGUCAAUUUCUCACCUUCUGGAGAACCGCGAUGUCCUUAAUUGGGUGCCGCGAGGAACCAGGACCUUUACUUUGAAAAGAUUAGAGUGUUUAAAGCGGGCAUUUUUGCUUGAAUACAUUAGCAUGGAAUAAUAAAAUAGGACGGCAUGAUUCUAUUUUGUUGGUUUCUAGGAUCACCGUAAUGAUUAAUAGGGAUAGUUGGGGGCAUUAGUAUUCAAUUGUCAGAGGUGAAAUUCUUGGAUUUAUUGAAGACUAACUACUGCGAAAGCAUUUGCCAAGGAUGUUUUCAUUAAUCAAGAACGAAAGUUAGGGGAUCGAAGACGAUCAGAUACCGUCGUAGUCUUAACCAUUAAACUAUGACCGAUAGGAAUCAGACGAUGUAUUUUUAAUGUACUCGUUGGCA
rnacentral:rRNA from 1 species